rnacentral:rRNA from 1 species
CCCUUAGAUGUUCUGGGCCGCACGCGCGCUACACUGACGCAUUCAACGAGUCUCCUUGGCCGAGAGGCCUGGGUAAUCUUGUGAACGUGCGUCGUAAUAGGGAUAGAUUAUUGCAAUUAUUAAUCUUGAACGAGGAAUUCCUAGUAAACGCAGAUCAUCAAUCUGCAUUGAUUACGUCCCUGCCCUUUGUACACACCGCCCGUCGCACCUACCGAUUGGAUGGUCCGGUGAGGCCUCGGGAUUGUGGCCGGUGCAUUCAUUUGUGUCGGUUGCGAGAACUUGUCCAAACCUUAUCAUCUAGAGGAAGGUGAANUCGUAACA